GUCGGUAAGAUAAAUUCGUUACAUAGUGUGCUAGUGACGUAAUACCCCAUAUGGAAUUUACUGACCCCAUAUAUACCGUAUUAUGUCACUAGCACACUAUAUAACUAAUAUUCCACCGCGUUGAUACCAACAUUUAAUUGUUCGAUUUUCAAUGUUAAAAACGCGAGGUUACCACAUUUAUCCACUUAAAUUUCAACGAACUAUAUAAGAUACGA
rnacentral:lncRNA from 1 species